rnacentral:rRNA from 1 species
CAGUCGCCGCGGUAAUACGUAGGGGGCUAGCGUUAUCCGGAUUUACUGGGCGUAAAGGGUGCGUAGGUGGUCCUUCAAGUCGGUGGUUAAAGGCUACGGCUCAACCGUAGUAAGCCGCCGAAACUGGAGGACUUGAGUGCAGGAGAGGAAAGUGGAAUUCCCAGUGUAGCGGUGAAAUGCGUAGAUAUUGGGAGGAACACCAGUAGCGAAGGCGGCUUUCUGGACUGCAACUGACACUGAGGCACGAAAGCGUGGGUAGCAAACAGGAUUAGAGACCCCAGUAGUCCCUGUCUCUUAUACA